GAUCAUGGCUCAGGAUAACGCUGGCGGCGUGCCUAACACAUGCAAGUCGAACGAUCCCGCAAGGGAGAGUGGCGGAAGGGUGAGUAACACGUGGGAAUCUACCUCCUCGCAGGGAACAACCUCUCGAAAGAGAGGCUAAUACCCAAAAGGGUCAGAAAUGAUCAGAGUCGAAAGGCGUGAGGAGAGGAGCCCGCGGCCCAUCAGCUAGUUGGUGAGGUAAUGGCUUACCAAGGCUACGACGGGUAGGGGAUCUGAGAGGAUGUCCCCCACACUGGAACUGAAACACGGUCCAGACGCCUACGGGUGGCAGCAGUGAGGAAUAUUGGACAAUGGGCGAAAGCCCGAUCCAGCAACGCCGCGUGGAGGAUGAAGGCCUUCGGGUCGUAAACUUCUUUAGAGGGAGACGAGAAAGGACGGUAUCCCUAGAAUAAGCGACGGCAAACUACGUG
rnacentral:rRNA from 1 species